rnacentral:rRNA from 1 species
GAUAAGGGAAUCCCCAGUGCUCAUGCACUGCAUGGGCUUUUGCCAAGUGUAAAUAGCUUGGCGAAUAAGUGGUGGGUAAGACUGGUGCCAGCCGCCGCGGUAACACCAGCGCCACGAGUGGCAACCGCGAUUAUUGGGCCUAAAGCGUCCGUAGCCGGGUUGAUAAAUCCUUUGUGAAAUUGUGCGGCUUAACCGUACAACGUGCAAGGGACACUGUCGACCUCGAGACCGGGAGGAGUCAGAAGUAUUCCAGAGGGAGCGGUAAAAUGUUAUAAUCUCUGGAGGACUACCUGUGGCGAAGGCGUCUGACCAGAACGGAUCUGACGGUGAGGGACGGAAGCCAGGGGAGCGAACCGGAUUAGAUACCCGAGUAGUCCUGGCCGUAAACGCUGUGAGCUAGGUGUUGCGCCAGCUACAUGUUGGUGCAGUGUCGAAAGGAAGCUGUUAAGCUCACCGCCUGGGAAGUACG